AUAGACCUGGGGCCAGUGACGCCUCCUGCAAAUCGGCAGUGUGCGUGUGCUCUCCUCCCACUCGCUCUUCCGGUCUUCCCCUGCUUCUGAAAAUUUCGAGGAACAGCUGACUGAACAUCUGGUAGCCGUUCACCGGGGAAAGCCCUUCAAUCAUGGUUGAGAGCGACGCUGCCAAGAUCAAACCACGACCAAUCGUGCGCAUAGGGAUCUUCCUCGUCUCUCACAGCCUCCUCGUUUGUGUCGUUUGCUGCACUGCUGGGGUUCUAGCUCUCUUGCUACUUCCCGUUCUUGCCAAGAACACUUACAUUUCCGAAAAUGCGCUCAUGCCAGGUUCUGCGAAUACUAUGCUUUCUUUCGAAGACAUUACGGAGGCAAAUAGAUUGUUGAAGGAAAUAACCAGUGCUGAUAUGAGGUCUACCAAUUCCAGCAUAGAAAUUUCAAGAUUGAUAGCACAGCAUAUGGCAGAUUUGGGUGCUGAAGUUAGUCAUCACAAGUUUUACCCUCAAUCAGAUCAGUUUCAUCUGCUGCAUUUCUUUUCUGGCCUCGAUUAUGGGACAAUGCAAGAAAAAUUUAGUUGUUCAUCCUUUGGUCUCAAUACAGUGGGAAUAAUAAGAGCUCCACGGGGUGAUGGGAAAGAAGCUAUUGUCCUGGUGACACCCUAUAAUUCUGCGAAGAUUGAUCCAGUUGAAGCUUUAUCAUUGGGCAUUGCAUUUUCUGUAUUCUCAUUACUUGCUCGAGUUUCUUGGCUAGCCAAGGAUAUUAUAUGGCUUGCUGCAGAUUCACAGUUUGGAGAGUAUAUGUCGGUUGCUGCUUGGCUAAGAGAUUAUCACACACCUGUACUUGGUGGUUUGGGGAAAUUAAAUGCUGAAUUGUCUGAUGAAAGCAAUACUCUAUAUGAGCUGAAAGAAAAUAAAAUUACUGAUGAUUUUAAGCGUGCUGGGACAAUGGCUGCUGCCCUCGUAAUUAAGGUUGUGAAUAGAGAUGGACAAGGAGAAGACACCCUUAGAAUAUAUGCCGAGGCAUCUAACGGACAGAUGCCAAACCUAGAUCUCAUCAAUGUUGUGAACUUUUUAGCUGUACAUAGGCAAGGUUUGCAUGUUAAGGUGGAGAAAGUGUUGUCCUUCAUUGAAUCAAAAUGGGUCAAGAUUGUGGGUGAAAUAUUUGAGUUGCUAGGAAAAGUCGCCAGUACCUUAAAUCCACAAUGGAAAUUUGGCAUCCCUGUUGCAGACUAUGUUCAAGGCUCAGCCACGCUGGCAAGUUCAUUGUAUUUCCAGGCAUUGGGUGUUCCCACUGGUCCCCAUGGUGCUUUUCGUGAUUACCAAGUUGAUGCAAUCACUUUGGAGGUUUCAUCCGUGGCCUCUCUGAAUAACAAAGCCAGGAAAAAUGAAUUUCUUCUGCGAGGUGGCCGGUUAAUUGAAGGAGUCAUCCGAUCAGUAAACAACCUCCUUGAAAAAUUUCAUCAGUCUUUUUUCUUGUACCUUUUGACAUCUCCUAGUAAGUUUGUGUCAGUUGGAGUCUACAUGAUUGCUUUUGCACUUCUUGUUGCACCCCUACCAAUGGUUGCAGCAUCUCUCUAUGCUGAUUUUAAAAAAGAUAACGCUGCUCCUCGCACAGCCUUUGCUGAUGGUGAUCAUGGCGUCACUGUUAAUUCAUGGAAGUGGCUUCCUGCUGCAAAACAAGUGUUUGUUGUACACUUAUGGGGUGCCAUCGUUUCAUUCCUUCCGUAUUUCAUCUGUCAAAUGCCCAAUUGUACCCCCAAAACUAAUGUCAUAACAUGGGUUUUGCUUUCGAUGAUCAACCUCUUCAUCUUGUACUUGAUUUUGGGCUCUCCAUUUUCACGUGACACUGCAUUUCAAGCUCAAAAAAGAGAAUGGGCUUUCCUGAAAUCAGUUAUGAUUUCUGCUGCCUUCAUCGGUUUGGGUCUCAUGUCUGUCAUCAACUUUGCCACUGCAGAACUUGGGGCUUUGUUGAUGGUGCCAAUGUGCUUGAUUGCUCACCCCUUGAGGCUUGACAUUAGAGCUGGAAACUUGAGAUCAUUCAUCAGAGUCGCUUGUAACCUGAUACUGGGAUUCAUUGGGUUUCCCCCAGCUGCUUUCUUUGUUUUCAAAGGUAUAUUCGAAGGUUCUGGCAAUGUGAAUAUUGGUGAGUUCUGGACUUGGGUUGAAUCCCUUUGGGCAUGGAACAGCGCCACUUACCUUUAUAUAGGCAUGGUUCACUUGCCAUGCUGGGCAUUAUGCAUUCACAUAUUAUUCCAUCCAUGAUGACAGCCACGGAAGUUUUACCGCGUUAUUGUAUAUCAUAGACAGGCAGUGCAGAACAUGGAGGCCGAAGCAAAUGCACUAAUACUAUUCAUUCCCAGAGAAGAAGGAGCACGAGGCCAUUGAUCAUUAGGCGAUAAGAAGAGAAUUGAAUAGUUGCCUAGCGAGAGAGGAUUCUUGUUAGAGAGGCGAACCCCACCUUUGAGGGAGAGAGGUUGUAACUUCAACUAAUAACAAAGUUGGUGAAGGAAAUCCUCAUAGCGAGUUGCUUGGGGUAAGGACAUAGGCUGCGGCCAAACCUUGUAAAAACAACGGUGUUCAACUUCUUCUUCCUUACUCUCUUUAUUUUCUGCAAGAUAUAACCUAUGUUCGUGGAUAUAUUUUCUUUAUCAUCUUGCCAAAUAUUGAAUAGUGCUGAAUAUCGAAUCGUAGUAAAUAUUGAAUCUUGUUGAAAA